GACGAACGCUGGCGGCGUGCUUAACACAUGCAAGUCGAACGGAAAGGCCCUGCUUUUGUGGGGUGCUCGAGUGGCGAACGGGUGAGUAACACGUGAGUAACCUGCCCUUGACUUUGGGAUAACUUCAGGAAACUGGGGCUAAUACCGGAUAGGAGCUCCUGCUGCAUGGUGGGGGUUGGAAAGUUUCGGCGGUUGGGGAUGGACUCGCGGCUUAUCAGCUUGUUGGUGGGGUAGUGGCUUACCAAGGCCUUGACGGGUAGCCGGCCUGAGAGGGGGACCGGCCACAUUGGGACUGAGAUACGGCCCAGACUCCUACGGGAGGCAGCAGUGGGGAAUAUUGCACAAUGGGCGGAAGCCUGAUGCAGCAACGCCGCGUGCGGGAUGACGGCCUUCGGGUUGUAAACCGCUUUCGCCUGUGACGAAGCGUGAGUGACGGUAAUGGGUAAAGAAGCACCGGCUAACUACGUG
rnacentral:rRNA from 1 species